AAUAAACGCUGGCUACAGGCUUAACACAUGCAAGUCGAGGGGAAACGAUAUUGGAAGCUUGCUUCCGAUAGGCGUCGACCGGCGCACGGGUGAGUAACGCGUAUCCAACCUGCCCAUCACUUGGGGAUAACCUUGCGAAAGUAAGACUAAUACCCAAUGAUAUCUCCAGAAGACAUCUGAAGGAGAUUAAAGAUUUAUCGGUGAUGGAUGGGGAUGCGUCUGAUUAGCUUGUUGGCGGGGUAACGGCCCACCAAGGCGACGAUCAGUAGGGGUUCUGAGAGGAAGGUCCCCCACAUUGGAACUGAGACACGGUCCAAACUCCUACGGGAGGCAGCAGUGAGGAAUAUUGGUCAAUGGGCGAGAGCCUGAACCAGCCAAGUAGCGUGCAGGAUGACGGCCCUAUGGGUUGUAAACUGCCUUUAUAAGGGAAUAAAGUGAGUCUCGUGAGACUUUUUGCAUGUACCUUAUGAAUAAGGACCGGCUAAUUCCGUGCCAGCCGCCGCUGUAA
rnacentral:rRNA from 1 species